rnacentral:rRNA from 1 species
CACGUAGUUAGCCGGGGCUUCUUAGUCAGGUACCGUCAUUUUCUUCCCUGCUGAUAGAAGUUUACAUACCGAAAUACUUCUUCCUUCACGCGGCGUCGCUGCAUCAGGGUUCCCCCCAUUGUGCAAUAUUCCCCACUGCUGCCUCCCGUAGGAGUUUGGGCCGUGUCUCAGUCCCAAUGUGGCCGUUCACCCUCUCAGGUCGGCUACUGAUCGUUGCCUUGGUGAGCCCUUACCUCACCAACUAGCUAAUCAGACGCGGGUCCAUCUCAUACCACCAGAGUUUUUCACACUGUACCAUGCAGUACUGUGCGCUUAUGCGGUAUUAGCAGCCAUUUCUAACUGUUAUCCCCCUGUAUGAGGCAGGUUACCCACGCGUUACUCACCCGUCCGCCACUCAGUCAUAAAAAUCUUCCUACCGUAGUAUUCUGUCUCUUAUGCUUCGUUCGACUUGCAUGUGUUAAGCACGCCGCCAGCGUUCAUCCUGAGCCAGGAUCAAA